rnacentral:rRNA from 1 species
GACAAACGCUGGCGGCGUGCGUAAAACAUGCAAGUCGAACGGCCGCUUCGGCGGCAGUGGCAGACGGCUGAGUAACGCGUAGGAACCUGCCCCGGGGUGGGGGACAACCUCCCGAAAGGGGGGCUAAUACCGCAUACGGUCCCGGCUCUGCCGGGAAGAAAGCCCUUGGGUGCCCUGGGAGGGGCCUGCGUCCGAUUAGCUGGUUGGUGGGGUAAUGGCCUACCAAGGCACCGAUCGGUAGCUGGUCUGAGAGGAUGAUCAGCCAGACUGGGACUGGGACACGGCCCAGACGCCUACGGGAGGCAGCAGCUAGGAAUUUUGGGCAAUGGCCGCAAGGCUGACCCAGCAACGCCGCGUGGGGGACGAAGGCCUUCGGGUUGUAAACCCCUUUCCCAGGGACGAUGAUGACGGUACCUGGGGAAUAAGCCCCGGCUAACUACGUGCCAGCCGCCGCAGUAACAC